UUACAAGUACCCGUGAGGGAAAGUUGCAAAGCACUUUGAAGAGAGAGUAGGUGGAAACGGACAGAGCUGGCGUAUCUGGCUUGCAUUCACCCGUUUGUUGUUGCGCGUUGGGCUUCCUGCCUCCAGACUGGGGCUGGUUGUCCUUCUGUGCGGCGGCUGAUGGGGCAUUUGCAGGCGGAGUGCGCCGAGAUGCUCGGGGCAGCUGCGUGAGCUCGGCUUUGAGGCCAGCCCUUCACGGGGUCUGGUACCCGGGUCGGGGGAGUGCUGUUUGCUCUGGGUGCACAGCGCGGUGGUUACGGGUCCGUGUUGGUUCGAGCUGGGGGUCGGUGGCGGUCGCAUGCGACACGUACCAGCAACCAGUUCGGUCCAGCUCGGGCUCUCAACUGUGCGUUCUCGGUGUAAAAGCCGGUCAUCUGUCCGACCCGUCUUGAAACACGGACCAAGGAGUUUAGCGUAUGCGCGAGUCAUUGGGUGUUGAAAACCUAAAGGCGUAAUGAAAGUGAAGGUGUCCUUGCGGAACCGAUGUGUGAUCCCUGGCACCGCGGUGUCGGGGCGCAACAUAGUCCCGUCUCGAUCGCAUGCGAUGGGGCGGAGACAGAGCGUAUGCGCUGAGACCCGAAAGAUGGUGAACUAUUCCUGAGCAGGAUGAAGCCAGAGGAAACUCUGGUGGAAGUCCGAAGCGAUUCUGACGUGCAAAUCCGAUCGUCUGA
rnacentral:rRNA from 1 species